CAGGUGGUCAGGUAGAGAAUACCAAGGCGCUUGAGAGAACUCGGGUGAAGGAACUAGGCAAAAUGGUGCCGUAACUUCGGGAGAAGGCACGCUGACACGUAGGUGAAGUGAUUUACUCAUGGAGCUGAAGUCAGUCGAAGAUACCAGCUGGCUGCAACUGUUUAUUAAAAACACAGCACUGUGCAAACACGAAAGUGGACGUAUACGGUGUGACGCCUGCCCGGUGCCGGAAGGUUAAUUGAUGGGGUCAGCGCAAGCGAAGCUCCUGAUCGAAGCCCCGGUAAACGGCGGCCGUAACUAUAACGGUCCUAAGGUAGCGAAAUUCCUUGUCGGGUAAGUUCCGACCUGCACGAAUGGCGUAAUGAUGGCCAGGCUGUCUCCACCCGAGACUCAGUGAAAUUGAACUCGCUGUGAAGAUGCAGUGUACCCGCGGCAAGACGGAAAGACCCCGUGAACCUUUACUAUAGCUUGACACUGAACAUUGAGCCUUGAUGUGUAGGAUAGGUGGGAGGCUUUGAAGCGUGGACGCCAGUCUGCGUGGAGCCGACCUUGAAAUACCACCCUUUAAUGUUUGAUGUUCUAACGUGGACCCGUAAUCCGGGUUGCGGACAGUGUCUGGUGGGUAGUUUGACUGGGGCGGUCUCCUCCUAAAGAGUAACGGAGGAGCACGAAGGUUGGCUAAUCCUGGUCGGACAUCAGGAGGUUAGUGCAAUGGCAUAAGCCAGCUUGACUGCGAGCGUGACGGCGCGAGCAGGUGCGAAAGCAGGUCAUAGUGAUCCGGUGGUUCUGAAUGGAAGGGCCAUCGCUCAACGGAUAAAAGGUACUCCGGGGAUAACAGGCUGAUACCGCCCAAGAGUUCAUAUCGACGGCGGUGUUUGGCACCUCGAUGUCGGCUCAUCACAUCCUGGGGCUGAAGUAGGUCCCAAGGGUAUGGCUGUUCGCCAUUUAAAGUGGUACGCGAGCUGGGUUUAGAACGUCGUGAGACAGUUCGGUCCCUAUCUGCCGUGGGCGCUGGAGAACUGAGGGGGGCUGCUCCUAGUACGAGAGGACCGGAGUGGACGCAUCACUGGUGUUCGGGUUGUCAUGCCAAUGGCACUGCCCGGUAGCUAAAUGCGGAAGAGAUAAGUGCUGAAAGCAUCUAAGCACGAAACUUGCCCCGAGAUGAGUUCUCCCUGAGACUUAGAGUCUCCUGAAGGAACGUUGAAGACGACGACGUUGAUAGGCCGGGUGUGUAAGCGCAGCGAUGCGUUGAGCUAACCGGUACUAAUGAACCGUGAGGCUUAACCUUACA
rnacentral:rRNA from 1 species